AUACGGAGGGUGCAAGCGUUACUCGGAAUCACGGGGCGUAAAGCGCGCGCAGGCGGGCUGAUAAGUUGGAUGUGAAAGCCUACGGCUCAACCGUAGAACUGCAUCCAAAACUGUCAGUCUAGAGUGUGGGAGAGGAAGAUGGAAUUAGUUGUGUAGGGGUAAAAUCCGUAGAGAUAACUAGGAAUACCAAAAGCGAAGGCAAUCUUCUGGAACACUACUGACGCUGAGGCGCGAAGGCGUGGGGAGCAAACAGGAUUAGAAACCCUAGUAGUCC
rnacentral:rRNA from 1 species